GUUCCGGUAGCUCAGUCGGUAGAGCGCCGCCUCGACAAGACGGAGGUCCCUGGUUCGAUUCCAGGCCGGAACA
rnacentral:tRNA from 1 species